UAUUGCCGGCAGAUAGCUUUCUGCAACUCUCCCAUGGCCGCCCACUGAAGCUAAGCAGGGCUGCACCCGGUCAGUACCUGGAUGGGAGACCACAGGGGGAAGCUAGGUUGCUGCAAAAA
ensembl:rRNA 5S_rRNA 5S ribosomal RNA